AUGAUGCUCAAACCUAUUGGCAUCUCAUAAAAGCUUUGCAUUAAACACCAAUCAAACCAUCAUAUGGAAGUAGAAAGAAGGACAAAUGAAACAAUGAAACAUGCAAGGCUGUAAAUAAGUAAAUUAUUUUAUAGGUGCUGUAUAAGUCAAUGCAGAGGCUGCUCUGCUUCUGAAAAACAAACUGCACAGUCAAAAAAACCAAGUAGACUUGGAAAUGUAACUCAACAGACACCAGGACCCAGUGGCCUCUGUGCCAUCGCAUUUAUUUGAUGGGAUAUUUGGCCAAGCAAAAGUAAAAGUGGACAUUCCUGUCUGCAACAAACAUGGAGAUGUACUAUUUUACAAAAGAUGCACUGGUUUUUGCAUUUGGUUUGUGUGUGCAGGGUAGCAAAGGUAUUUCAAAGCCAGGUAAGCUUCAUAUUUUUAUUAUAUUUGAAUGAAUGUGCACUCAUGCACCUUCUUUCCAUGGACUAAGUUGUAUCUUUAAACAUAGCUAAAUGGCUACCUCAGAAUUUUUGUGAAAUUCUGUUAAUUAGGCCAUAUCAUUAAUUAGAAUCUGUCUGUUGUCUUUACAUUGAAAGCAAUGAACGUGCCCAAAAGUUUUCAACACCCUUGUCCCGGCACAACCAUGUCUUCAUGAUGGUUGUUGUCCUGGAGAAGAAAAAUGUUGCACGUAUGCAGGGGGAUCUGUCUGUGACCCUCCUAUUAUGAGUAAGAGCUGAUCCAGAGUGUCCAGACCCACAAGGGAAGAUUGGUGUGUGUGGUGAACUUUGCUACAGUGACAACGAUUGCCCCUGCAGUGAAUUAUGCUGCUCCAAUGGAUGUGGGCACGAGUGCAUAUCGACAACUUUGGAUAAGCCAGGUUGCUGCGGUUCUCCGUGGUAUUUUGUCUGGUGUGGUGACAAAUGCCAAAGAGUUGCUGAUUGCUCAGGACAUUUGAAGUGCUGUCCCACCAUUUGGGGCCAUGUUUGCAAAGAGCCAUGCCUGUCACCCUGGUACUGAUCUGCACAGUUUCAU